GACGAAGGUGGCGAGCGUUGUUCGGAAUCACUGGGCAUAAAGCGCACGUAGGCGGCGACGUAAGUUGGGUGUGAAAUCCCUCGGCCCAACCGAGGAACUGCGCCCAGUACUGCGUUGCUUGAGGAUCAAAGGGGUGCAUGGAAUUCCCGGUGGAGCGGUGAAAUGCGUUGAUAUCGGGAGGAACUCCGGCGGCGAAAGCGGUGCACUGGUUGAUUACUGACGCUGGAGGUGCGAAAGCCAGGGGAGCAAACGGG
rnacentral:rRNA from 1 species